rnacentral:rRNA from 1 species
AGAGUUUGAUCCUGGCUCAGGAUGAACGCUAGCUACAGGCUUAACACAUGCAAGUCGAGGGGAAACGACAUCGAAAGCUUGCUUUUGAUGGGCGUCGACCGGCGCACGGGUGAGUAACGCGUAUCCAACCUGCCCACCACUUGGGGAUAACCUUGCGAAAGUAAGACUAAUACCCAAUGAUAUCCCACGAAGGCAUCCGAAUGGGAUUAAAGAUUUAUCGGUGAUGGAUGGGGAUGCGUCUGAUUAGCUUGUUGGCGGGGUAACGGCCCACCAAGGCUACGAUCAGUAGGGGUUCUGAGAGGAAGGUCCCCCACAUUGGAACUGAGACACGGUCCAAACUCCUACGGGAGGCAGCAGUGAGGAAUAUUGGUCAAUGGGCGAGAGCCUGAACCAGCCAAGUAGCGUGCAGGAUGACGGCCCUAUGGGUUGUAAACUGCUUUUAUAAGGGAAUAAAGUGGGUCUCGUGAGACUUUUUGCAUGUACCUUAUGAAUAAGGACCGGCUAAUUCCGUGCCAGCAGCCGCGGUAAUACGGAAGGUCCGGGCGUUAUCCGGAUUUAUUGGGUUUAAAGGGAGCGUAGGCCGGAGAUUAAGCGUGUUGUGAAAUGUAGUGGCUCAACCUCUGCACUGCAGCGCGAACUGGUCUUCUUGAGUACGCACAACGUGGGCGGAAUUCGUGGUGUAGCGGUGAAAUGCUUAGAUAUCACGAAGAACUCCGAUUGCGAAGGCAGCUCACUGGAGCGCAACUGACGCUGAAGCUCGAAAGUGCGGGUAUCGAACAGGAUUAGAUACCCUGGUAGUCCGCACGGUAAACGAUGGAUGCCCGCUGUUGGCCUGAAUAGGUCAGCGGCCAAGCGAAAGCAUUAAGCAUCCCACCUGGGGAGUACGCCGGCAACGGUGAAACUCAAAGGAAUUGACGGGGGCCCGCACAAGCGGAGGAACAUGUGGUUUAA